UUUGUAUGUUAGAUCGAAGAG
rnacentral:miRNA from 1 species